rnacentral:rRNA from 1 species
UUGACCUCAAAUCAGGUAGGACUACCCGCUGAACUUAAGCAUAUCAAUAAGCGGAGGAAAAGAAACUAACAAGGAUUCCCCUAGUAACUGCGAGUGAAGCGGGAUAAGCUCAAAUUUGAAAUCUGGCAGUCUUUUUUUUCUUCUUUGGCUGUCCGAGUUGUAAUCUAGAGAA